rnacentral:lncRNA from 1 species
UUGGGCAGGCGUUGAAUUAGCAGCAAACAGCAAGCAGUAGCGUGUGGAAGCACAUUUGUGAAACGCAAACGCUUUUGCCUCCUCCUUGCACGCCAGCAAGAGCACCAACGCUACCAACGUCAGCUCCAGCCAGACAGUCAACAGCCGCCAUAAGGCUACGUCGCCACCAGAACCAAACCUUGCGCCCGCCUGACGAUGACGACAAUGAUGAUGAUGAUGACGAUGCAGACGAGAGAGGUGAAGCCCGCGGCGCGACAUGUUGAGAAGGGUAGACGCGAAUGGCGUGUAUUUGCGCGCUUUGAACGCUAGGCUUGUGCGGCUAGUGAGCAUACAAUUUGGGCUUUUCAAGUGGAGCGCAUACCACUCAUAUACAUACAUAUGUACAUCGACAACGGUGCCAACAACAAUGACGAGCAUAACAAAACAACAAAACCGCAGCACACGGCUCACCGCGGAUUGCACACAGCAACACAGUACCAGCCGCAACGGUGCGGCGUUUGUUGUUAUUUUUGUUUUAGUUACUGCCAUUACACUGCUGCUGCUGCUGCUGCUACUGCUCACAACGCCACGAUAAUGAUGACGCUAACGCAAUGAGGAUGGAUGGCUGUUGACUGGCUGUUUGGCUCCACGGAACAGAGUGCGGGGUGAUUGCCGAGACAAAAGUUGACGCAGCACAACAACAGCAACUAGUCAAAGAGGGGACGCUGCUGACUGACUGGCACAGCGCGCGGCUGUUCGCCAGACCAAACAAGGCCGAGCCGUGAGGGGUAGAACUCGGCCACCGUGUGCGCGCACACAGAAAUUCGCCAAGCGCAAAUUUCAAAAGCGAAUGAAAUGGAAGCAAAACAAAGUGAAAACAAGCGACCGCCAGCAAUGGAGGCUCAGCAUAAAAAAUCGAAAAAACAAGCAGUUGGCGCGACGACACAGCACGCUCCGGCUCGAUGGCUGACUAGCUGGUUGCAUGGCUCGUCGGUUGGUUGGCUGACAAAAUCAUUCCAAAUGACGGUUGGCAGGCUGGCACUGGCGAGCGAAAAAUAAACUCAACAAAGCAAAAAAAGAAAUGAGUACCGCAGCAGCGCACUACCGCAACGCAAUAGCAGACAAAAACAAAAACUAAAAGCUCCCAAUGGAAACGGAAAAAAUCAGCAAACAAAGUGAGCGGACAGGCAAGUAAAAAAUGCUAGAGCAAGUGUGUGCGGCUUUGAGUGGCGCUGUGGCAGGGUAGAUGCGCACCAAUGUGGCGAAAAAGUAAAGCAAAAAGAGUAAAAGGUAAAAACAGAAAUGCAAUGAAGUGACAAAAAAGUCAAAGACAAAGAAAAACGCGGGAGACAGCAAAAUUAAAACGCUUUGGCGACUGUUGGGCAGCUAACUGCCGGUGUUGGCAAUCACCAACAAGCGCAGUAGCGGCGUUUUUCGUGACGUUAUCGACAUACACACCCAUUCAAACAGCAGAGAAUUUAUGUGCGAUCCAACGAAACGAAUAAGAAGCCCGCAAAAGGAAAUUACUACGACGUCGCCGCCAAUAGCAAGAGGUGAUGGCGACGAAUCAACGCGAAAAUUGCCCAGCAAGUCGACUGUCCAUUAGGCAAAUAAGAAAUAAAAGUAAAAAGAGCAACGCAACGACCUAACUGAAUGGUUGACUGCCUAGCUGGCUCGCUGGCUUGGUGGCCUGCCGACUGGUUCAUUGGCAGCGCAAGCAAGCGACGACUUCAAUGGCACAUUAUUCUUAUUUGCCAAUAAGCGACUGAAUGUAAAUAAAAGUGGCGGUGUAUGCACAUCUAUGUGCGAAUGUCUGUAUGCAUAUGUGUACAAAUGCCAUAUAUUUAAUGACUGGCUGACUAGCACGCAAGCAGGAGAGCUGUGGCGGCUGCUUGAGCAGCGUUCGCAAUGGUGGCGGCGUUGAUGAUGACAAUGACGAUGGUAAAUAACGCUUGGCAACGCGCAACAGCAGAAACACCAACAACAAGAAGCGAAUGAACAAUAACCAGCAUUAAAACUGCUGUGGCAGCGACGGCUGGCCCAAGCUUGUUGGCAAAGCCAUCUCAAAGCAACAGAGCGGCAACGCGGCACGUAUUUUCGCCAGCGCAAGCAGUCAGGCGAAGGAAGUUCGAGUGUGCAAUGUGCAUACGCGAGGGGGUUUGGAUGACGUAUGAAAGAGUAGCAAGCAAAAGCGUUGUGAAAAAGGAAAACAGAAACGCGAAAAGCUUUUCGCAGACAAAAAUGGAGGAGGGGAACAACACAUGACCGCAUGGGCACAUGACGAACAGGCAGACGGAUAAGCAGAAUGUGGGGAACGGCUGCCGCAGUCACGGCGUGCAAAUUACGGUUGACGACGGCACACCAAUAAUCACAGCAACACAAAUGGCCUCGUUGUCCCGAGCAGGGUGAUCUAAGCUAAGGCUGCGUAGGCCGAGGGAAACAAGGGUUGAGACGCAAUCACUGAAGCCUAACCGCACAGAAAUGUUGCUCCUAACUAUGGCGGCUAUAGCUGAGACUGGUGGUGGCUAGUAUCGUUCUGGCCGCAACGUUGCCAAAUGGAUGGCAGUAAAAAUGCGUUGAGUUUUGCUGUUGAGCAGAAAAACGGGGCGCAUAAAAUCGCAAAACGCAAUUCACUGGCUUUCUCGCACAACACAAUCGACAGCAGCCAGGCGCGCUACUGAUAAACCUGUGGGGGGUAUAUAGCGAAAGCGUAUUACACACGACCAUGGCAUAUGAAUGUAUGUAUGUAUGCAUUGAAAUGCACACACGCAAUAUUAAAAUAGUGCUCGCAGCAGAAGCCAACCAGCCAUUAAGAGCGAAACGAAGCAAAAAUGCUAUAGUUGUGGGGCAUGAUGAAGUAGAAUGGAGUGACCGGUCAGCCUGACACUGGAUGAAAGUAGGAUCCGAUGGGUGUUGUUUUUAUUGUAAUCGCACAUUGUAUAUUACUGACUAGCAACGUGAUGAUGGUGAUGGUGAUUACGAUGAUGAAGUAGCAGCACACAACCGCCUGACGAACGGCGAAAUGAAUCGUGACAGACACUGUUUCAACGCGGCAUAUGACGAACUGAUACACACACACAUACAUAUAUACACAUCACACAUGCCAAUAUAUUGCAGCUUAUAUGCCCAUAAAAUUAAUAGCUCUCCGAGGAGCGUGCACAUGGGUCAGUGCAAGGUAGAGGGCGAUUUGACUAGUGUCGGCUUUUCGGCAAACCGACUGCAGAUACGAGCCGUUACAUAUAUUCGGUCAACGCGUAACACUCGCGCAAAACGCCAACGGUUGCGGUUGGGCAGAUAGGAAACUCAACUACGUGUAUUGGGACGUUGUUGCGAAUGCAGAUGAUAUUGCGAACGGAAGUGGGCGAGUUGAAGAGUGUGUUGUUUUCCACCAUAAUGAAGUAUGACAGAUUUGCAUAACUUGAGUAAAUACAAUCAGAGUCAAAAGAAAGUAUACAACACUUGUUUAUUCCAUUACUUUAUUUAAGUUUUUACUUAGUGAUAUAAUGUAACAAUUCGUUUUUGUAUAAUGGUAUUUAAUACUCUUCAACAACAGGACAAUGAUUCUAAACACACUCUGAGAAUUGUUAAAGAAUGGAUGAUGCAAUUGGAUCACCUCAUAUUGACCGGACCUCAAUCAAAUCGCGCAUUUAUUGGAUCACGAUCAAACUAGAAAAAGAAAGAUUAGCAGGAAGGACAUUGUUUUGAAUGGCAGAAGAAUGGCAAAAAAUUUUACCGGAAGUAACAGGAAAUCUCAAUUCAAUGCCGCGCCGUUUACAAGCUGUAAUUAGCACACAAGUACUAAAAUAUGUUUCCAUCACUUAUUGUUCUUUUGUACACUUUCUUUUGACCCCAUAAAUAUGAAGUAUUUUAAGUUUUCUGUUCUUAACUUUUGUUGUUGUAAGAAUUGUGUUUUCUUUUUCCAUAAACUUAAAUAAAACAAGCCAGUGUCGUUCACUUUCUUUUGACGCAGACGGAACAUAUGUAUAUACAUAUGUACAUAUUGUAAUGGAUUACUCGAUGAAUUAUCUGCUUUGAAACUUAAAUAAAAUUACAAAUUUAUUGGA